GUGGGAGGGGACACAAGAGAUUUAUGAAUCAUACACCAGAUAAAUCAAUAGCUUACCAGAAUUUCCCUAUUAAAUUUGAGAUCAAGUCAUUGUAAUAUUCCAAUUUCUUAUGUCUUUCCAAACAUGAUCAAAUACAUUAUGAAAUUGUUCAGAGAAAUGAAAGCAAAUUUAGAGAAAUAGUUUAAUGGCAGUUUCAUCAUAUGUUGUCUGUUUGAAGAGUGCCAAAGUGAUACAAAGAUGGCAAAAUCGUGUUUCACUAGAGAUACCAAAUGGCAUAUUUUGCCAAGUGAGACACAAAAUGAUAAAUGGCCAAACUCAAUAUACACUAUGAU
rnacentral:misc_RNA from 1 species